rnacentral:sRNA from 1 species
UUCUGCUUCCUGUCUUCCACUGUCCACCAUCCAUCC